UAGGGAAUAUUGCGCAAUGGGCGAAAGCCUGACGCAGCGAUACCGCGUGAGCGAGGAAGGUCUUCGGAUUGUAAAGCUCUGUCAAAGUGGAAAAACGGCGUGUGGUCUAAUAGGCCGCACGAUUGAUGGUACACUUAGAGGAAGCACCGGCAAACUUCGUGCCAGCAGCCGCGGUAAUACGAAGGGUGCAAGCGUUGUUCGGAAUUAUUGGGCGUAAAGGGUACGCAGGCGGGUCGAUAAGUCAGGUGUGAAAUCUCGGAGCUCAACUCCGAAACAGCGCCUGAAACUAUUGAUCUAGAAUCUCGGAGGGGAAAGGGGAAUUUCGCAUGUAGGGGUAAAAUCCGUAGAGAUGCGAAGGAACACCGGAGGCGCAAGCGCCUUUCUGGACGAGUAUUGACGCUGAGGUACGAAAGCGUGGGGAGCAAACAGG
rnacentral:rRNA from 1 species